GAACAUACUGUAUGCCUAGAACUGGUGAUGCAAAUUGUGAAACAACCGUUGUACUCUAAAAGCUUAAGUCCUUAAAGAACGGUGUUUAAACAUUUUUAUAUUUAACACUCCCCCUCACGUCUGGGCUCGAGACUUUUUAAUCGGCCCAUGACGUGGGCUUGAAUUAAAUGGGCCUCACGUCUGGGCUCGAGACUUUUUAAUCGGCCCAUGACGUGGGCUUAAAUUAAAUGAGAGAAAAUUAAUAUGCUAGGAGCCUGGCGUGACUCGAACUCAGGACCUCCUGCUCUGAUACCAUGUGAAACAACCGUUGUACUCUAAAAGCUUAAGCUCUUAGAGAACGGUAUUUAAACAUUUUUAUAUUUAACACAAAUAAUGCUGUAUCUAUCAGAAUUUAAGCGAAUCUAGAUGCAAUUUACGAAGUCAAAGCAAUGGGUUGAAAAACCACUACAAGGGAUGGGAACGACGUCCUGACUAAAUAAAAGCUUCUUCAAUGGUUGGGUAAGCUUGUUGAGCGGAAUGAACUAUGAACUCCAAAGCCAAAGGUCUCCUCUCCAACAGAUUCGGACGGGGAUGCUGCUUUUCUGAUCAUAGGACUUACAUAGGGAUGUUAGUUCGGUAAGAUUGGCGUGCAUGUUGCUUCCUAUUCAGUGAUAAGUCUCAUAUCAUCGAUAUGAUAUACCAGAGCAAAUACAAAGGUGGUUGCUGUAAAAUAAGGGUACAAAGUAUGACCAUCUAUAAAACUAUCACUUGGAUAUCUACUUACCCAUUAAUGACAAGUUUGAGCUAUGGUGAUGUGAGUAAUUUUUUGACCUGAAAUGCUGUGACCAUUAAAUGUCGACACCAUUGUGGUUUAAUC
rnacentral:lncRNA from 1 species